GCCCGGCUAGUUCAGUCGGUAGAGAAUUAGACUCUUAAUCUCACGGUCGUGGGUUCGAGACCCACGCUGGGCA